rnacentral:rRNA from 1 species
UACGUAGGAGGCAAGCGUUGUCCGGAAUCACUGGGCGUAAAGGGUGCGUAGGCGGCACGGUAAGUCAGGUGUGAAAGCCCGGAGCUCAACUCCGGAAUUGCACCCGAUACUGCCGUGCUUGAGGACUGGAGAGGAGAUUGGAAUUCACAGUGGAGCAGUGAAAUGCGUAGAUAUUGUGAGGAACACUAGUGGCGAAGGCGAAUCUCUGGACAGUUCCUGACGCUGAGGCACGAAGGCCAGGGGAGCAAACGGG